rnacentral:misc_RNA from 1 species
AAGUCGUAACAAGGUCUCCGUUGGUGAACCAGCGGAGGGAUCAUUAUAGAGUUAUCAUAACUCCAAACCCAUGUGAACAUACCUAUUGUUGCCUCGGCAGGUCGUAGACUGCUGGGAAAGGGUCUUUCCCCUAGCUCGGGAGGCCCUACCCAGGAGCCGCGGGUAAGCCUGCCGAUGGCCCGUAAAACUCUGUUUAGCACUGAAAUUCUGAAUCAUAACUAAAUAAGUUAAAAACUUUCAACAACGGAUCUCUUGGUUCUG